UGAAACAUGGGUUCUUGUAUGAUCACCAAAGUUAAGCAAUGUUAAGCCUGGUCAGUACCUAGAUAGGUGACCACUUGGGAAUACCAGGUAUUGUAAG